UUGUAGCCAGCCGUGUAGCUAUUCAGG
rnacentral:miRNA from 1 species